ensembl:lncRNA
GCAGUUUCAAAUAAAUUUUAGCAAGUAGGUGAAUUUUCAAAUACGGAAUCCAUGAAUUAUGAGGAUCAACUGUAUAUGUGUAUAUAUAUGCAUGUAUGUGUAUACAUGUAUACAUACACACAUUCAUAUAUAAACAAACUACAUACGACAUAUCCGGCAGGAAAGAGAAGUUGUGGACAUCUACUGUGAGACUCUCCUAAAGUAGUCUAGGAUUGGUACAGAGGCACAAAAAGGACAUCAAAGACCAAGGCUCUUUCUAUCUUUUUGCUCCAUUGAGUGUGUUGAUUUGUCCCUUCAAAGCUGCUGCUGUAGAUGCUUGCAUUACCUCUGCAUUCAAGGCAGGAAAAAGGACAGUGCCAGUCACACCUUUAUCUCUCUAACAAGAAAAACAAAAGCAUUCUUUCAAAUAACUCUCAUUUCUCUGCCCUCUGCAAACUUAGCUAAUAUCACAUUGUCCACAGCUGUUAGAUCAUCCAACAGCGUCUUGAUGGCCUGAUCUCCUUGAAGGCAGGGACUAUUUUUGUACCUCAGCAGCAAAUCCAGCACCUAGCACAGAGAGGUAUUUUGUAUCUAAUGAAUGCAUGAGUCUAAUAAAAGAAACAGUAGUGAGCACAAAAACUUCACUUUCCAAAUUUUCUUUAAGUGCUCUAAAAAUUGCCAGUGCUGUGCAAAUAAAGAAUUAUUAGUAUUAGAGUAGUUUGACAUAUAUUAUCAUGAAAUAUUUUACAAUUACUGUUCUUUCUGUAGAGUACCAGACAGAGGAUUAACAAGAAGUCAAGAGACCAGAAUUUUUGUCCAAGCAAAACACUCAAUCUUAAUGAACCUCAGUUUACCUAAAAGAUAAUGUUUAUUUAUUUCCCAUGAUUGUUCUGAGGAUAGAGGAAAGAUAAACCAUUAUGCAUGCACAAUGAAAUGUAUUAAACACAUGCAAUAUAAACACAAAAUAUAAAGACUAUUAAGUCUUGAGUGGAAACUUAGAGUUCUUAUGUAGCAUGCAUAGAGAUAUAUACCAUCUGGCACAUCAAUAAUAUGAACUAAAAAUUAAACACUAUCAAUAUCUAGAAUGGAUGCUGAAUGUUAGUCCAGGGUUACAUGAGUUUCUGAACUUGGCCCUGGUUCAUUCCUGGCUAUAGGGAAGUAAACUAAUUGUACCUUCGAUGUACACUUCAUUAAGGAAAAAAUGCUUUAUAAAGUAAAAUUGGUGCUUUGAUGAAAUUAUAUAAUAUACACAAUUUGAAAAGCAGGAUAUGAAAAACAAAAUAAACUAGUUAACACAGAACAGUUGACAUCAAAUCCCAGCUCAUCAAUUAAUAAUUACUAUCAAUAAAUGAAUAGUAGGCCAAAGUCCUAAAGUACUUCUAAGUUAAAGCAUCUGAGAAAUAAAAGAGUAGAAGCAUUGAAUAUUAAUUUUCCUGUGGCUUUAAUAAACUUAUAUUAUGAUUGAGCUUACAAACAGUGCCCCUCAGGGUGACCUUAUGACUUAUAUGCACAGGCAACAUUGGUGGUCAGAACUAUUUCUGAUAAAUGAUUACCUCAAUGGCCUGUUUUCCAAGUUUUUAUUAAGCUGUAUAUUUCCUCAUAUAUAAGACUGUAAUAUUAAAAUAAGCAUUAUGUAUAUACAACAAAAAACAGUAGCCAGUAUUAAGGAGGAAAAAAUGACAGUUCGAAAUCAACAAAAUCUCUAUAGAAUAUAUAGUAAGAACGGCUGUGUCUUCAUUUUUAUUAGAUUUGGAGACAACGGCUGCUUUGAAGAAAAACAUGUUCUUCUUUCAAGUCUGUUUAAUUAACUCUUCUCAAACAUUCAAAUACCUUAACCUUAUUAUUAAUGACUCACCAUUUCCUGUUUCAUUUAAGCAGAAACCAUUCUCCAUGUAGGUUACCAUGGAACUAUUUAAUACUGAAAACUGACUAAUCUUAACAUAAAAAACUGCAUCAAGACUGUAGGCUAGUAAAUUCCAUCAGAGCACUAUAAAAAGCAUCAUUAAGUCAAAAAUAGAACUGAAAAAUUCCAACAAUGAAUCAGACGGCAUAUCUUAACGGUUAUGUCUAUAGGAGGAACAUCUAUUUCAAUAAGAAACCAAAAUGUUAGAAUGGUAAGAAUGAGCUUAUGUUUUAUAGCUGUAUCCACCUAGUUUCAAUGACAUAGAUUUUUGUUUUUAAAUAAGAAGAAACAGAAUGUUUCUAUUCCUAUUUUAUCUGCAUACAUAGCUUUAUCAGCUAAAACUUCAACAGUGAAUAUUUCUCCUACAAAGAAUUUGGGAGUACCUGAAAUAAGCCAUAAACUAUUUGUCAAUGUUUGUAAAUGAAAGUUGUAAGUGAUAUGUUUACAAUGAAGAGCUAUUUUAAAUAUUUAACUUUGCAGAUGGAGAAUGCAUAUUAAUGAUUCAUUGCUCUUUAAAACACUCGUUUUCUCUCAUCAAAAACUAGACAGGUGACAAUGUGAUAUAAGCUAAAUUUGCUGAAUGUAGAGAAUUGAGGAUUAAUUGAAGGAAUGCUUUUGUUUUCCCUAUUAGAGAGAUAAAGGUGUGACUGGCAGUGUCCUUCUUCCUGCCUUGCAAUACAGCAAGAAGACAUAACAAUUAUAAACAUUUACACACACCUAUUGAUAGACCAUAAAAUAUAUGAAGCAAAAACUGACAAAAUUGAAGGGAGAAAUAGACAGUUUUACAGUAAUAGUUGUAGACAUCAAUACCCCACUAAAAAUAAGAUAGAACAACCAGACAGGAGAUCAAUAAAGAAACAGAGGACUUACAAUAAACCAAUUAGAUCUAAUAGACAUGUACAGAACACUCUACCCGACAAAAGAAUACACAUUCUUCUCAAGUGCACAUGGGAUAUUUUCCAGGAUAGACCAUAUGUUAGACCAUAAGUAAGCCUCAACAUAUUUAGAAAGAUAAAUAUCAUUCAAAAUAUCUUUUCCAACUACAAUAGGAUGAUGUUAGAAGCCAACAACAGAAGUAAAACUGAAAAAUUCACAAAUUUGUUGAAAUUAAACAACACACUCUUCAACAAACAAGGGUUCAGAGAAGAAAUCACAAGGGAAAUUAGAAAAUACUUAGAGAUGAAUGAAAGUGAAAACACAACAUACCGACAUUUAUGGGAUGCAGGGCAAGCAGUGUUAUGGAGAAAAGCUAGAAACACUUACAUCAAAAAGUAACAACAAUCUGAAAUCAACAACGUAACAUUACAACUUAAGGAACUAGAAAAAGAAGAACAAACUAAGCCCAAAGCUAGCAUAGGGAAGGAAAUAAUAAAGAUUAGAGCAGAGAUUAAUGAAAUAGAGAAGAGAAAAACAAUAGAGAAAAUCAAUAACACCAAAAGUGAGUCCUUUGAAAAGAUCAACAACACUGAUGAACCUUUAGUUACAUAGACUAAGAAAAAAGAGAGAAGACUCAAGUUACUAAAAUCAGAAAUGAAAGUGCGGACAUUACUACCAAUUCUACAAAAAUAAAAAGGAUUAUAAAGAGUACUAUGGACAACUGCACAUCAACAAAUUUGAUAACCUAGGUGAAAUGGACAGACUCCUGGAAACACAAAACCUAUGAGGCUAAUCACAAAGAAACAGAAAAUCUGAAUAGACCUAUAAAUAGUAAGGAGAUUGAUUCAGUAAUCAAAAAUCUCCCAAAAAAGAAAAGCCGUAGGUCUGAUGGCUUCACUGGUGAAAUCAAUGAAACAUUUAAAGAAGAACUAAUACCAGUCUUUCUGAAACUUUUCCAAAAAACUGAAGAGGAGGGAAUACUUCUUAUCUGAUUCUAUGAGGUCAGCAUUACUCUGAUCAAAGCCAGACAAAGACACUACAAAAAAGAAGACUACAGACCAAUAUAUCUUAUGAAUACUGAAGCAAAAAUUCUCAACAAAAUAGUAGCCAACCAAAUUCAUAUUAAAAGAACUAUACACCAUGACCAGGUAGGAUUUACUCCUGGAAUGCAAGGAUGGUUCAGAAUAUGAAAAUUGAUCAAUGUAACAGACUAUAUUAACAGAAUGAAAGUAAAAAGCCACAUGACCAUGUCAAUUGAAGCAGAAAAAGCAUGUGACAAAAUUCAACCCCUUUCAUGAUAAAAGCACUUAAACUAGAAAUAGAAGGAAAUACCUCAACAUAAAAAAAGCCAUAUAUGGGAGUGACAUCAGCAACAUGGCAGAGUGCGCAAUUUUCUUUGUCUCUCCCCCUUCGCACUACAACUAAUUGGACAUUCAUCAGUCAACAAAGGAUAUCCACACAGCAUCUCAGGACACCUGAGAGACCCGUGCU